rnacentral:rRNA from 1 species
UGGGGAAUAUUGCACAAUGGGCGGAAGCCUGAUGCAGCGACGCCGCGUGGGGGAUGAAGGCCUUCGGGUUGUAAACUCCUUUCGACAGGGACGAAGCUUUUGUGACGGUACCUGUAUAAGAAGCACCGGCUAACUACGUGCCAGCAGCCGCGGUAAUACGUAGGGUGCGAGCGUUGUCCGGAAUUACUGGGCGUAAAGAGCUCGUAGGUGGUUUGUCGCGUCGUCUGUGAAAUUCCGGGGCUUAACUCCGGGCGUGCAGGCGAUACGGGCUGACUUGAGUGCUGUAGGGGAGACUGGAAUUCCUGGUGUAGCGGUGAAAUGCGCAGAUAUCAGGAGGAACACCGAUGGCGAAGGCAGGUCUCUGGGCAGUAACUGACGCUGAGGAGCGAAAGCAUGGGUAGCGAACAGGAUUAGAUACCCUGGUAGUCCAUGCCGUAAACGAUGGGCGUUAGGUGUAGGGGGCUUCCACGUCUUCUGUGCCGUAGCUAACGCAUUAAGCGCCCCGCCUGGGGAGUACGGCCGCAAGGCUA